GAUGAACGCUAGCGGCAGGCUUAACACAUGCAAGUCGAGGGGCAGCAUAAUGAAGUAGCAAUACGGAAUUGAUGGCGACCGGCGCACGGGUGCGUAACGCGUAUGUAACCUACCUUUAACAGGGGGAUAACACUGAGAAAUUGGUACUAAUACCCCAUAACACCUUAAGAGGCAUCUUUUGAGGUUGAAAGUUCCGGCGGUUAGAGAUGGACAUGCGUUGUAUUAGCUAGAUGGUGAGGUAACGGCUCACCAUGGCGACGAUACAUAGGGGACUGAGAGGUUAACCCCCACACUGGUACUGAGACACGGACCAGACUCCUACGGGAGGCAGCAGUGAGGAAUAUUGGUCAAUGGACGCAAGUCUGAACCAGCCAUGCCGCGUGCAGGAAGACGGCUCUAUGAGUUGUAAACUGCUUUUGUACAAGGGUAAACCUCGGUACGUGUACCGAGCUGAAAGUACUGUACGAAUAAGGNUCGGCUAACUCCGUGCC
rnacentral:rRNA from 1 species